rnacentral:rRNA from 1 species
CCUACGGGACGCACCAGUGGGGAAUAUUGCACAAUGGGCGCAAGCCUGAUGCAGCCAUGCCGCGUGUAUGAAGAAGGCCUUCGGGUUGUAAAGUACUUUCAGCGGGGAGGAAGGCGAUAAGGUUAAUAACCUUGCCGAUUGACGUUACCCGCAGAAGAAGCACCGGCUAACUCCGUGCCAGCAGCCGCGGUAAUACGGAGGGUGCAAGCGUUAAUCGGAAUUACUGGGCGUAAAGCGCACGCAGGCGGUCUGUCAAGUCGGAUGUGAAAUCCCCGGGCCCAACCUGGGAACUGCAUUCGAAACUGGCAGGCUAGAGUCUUGUAGAGGGGGUAGAAUUCCAGGUGUAGCGGUGAAAUGCGUAGAGAUCUGGAGGAAUACCGGUGGCGAAGGCGGCCCCCUGGACAAAGACUGACGCUCAGGUGCGAAAGCGUAAGGAGCAAACAGGAUUAGAUACCCCAGU